rnacentral:rRNA from 1 species
UACAGAGGUCCCAAGCGUUGUUCGGAUUCAUUGGGCGUAAAGGGUGCGUAGGCGGCGCGGUAAGUCGGGUGUGAAAUCUCGGGGCUUAACUCCGAAACUGCAUUCGAUACUGCCGUGCUUGAGGACUGGAGAGGAGACUGGAAUUUACGGUGUGGCGGUGAAAUGCGUAGAUAUCGUAAGGAAGACCAGUGGCGAAGGCGGGUCUCUGGACAGUUCCUGACGCUGAGGCACGAAGGCCAGGGGAGCAAACGGG